GUUAUUUCGAUAGGUUGCAAUGUGUUUUAAAUAAUUGCCAACAUCGCCGUAAAGCAAGAUUUCCCCUCGUAAAAAGUGAAUUGCUCUACUCACAUUUUCGGACCGCGCGCAGGUGUGUUGGUUUGCAAAACAGGCAAUUCGGCAAGUGCGAGUGUUAUUCCAGCUCUCUGCGCGUUUCUUAACGAGACGAGCCCUCUCGCGUAAUGUGCGCAAGAAUCAAAACAAAGAUGACUCAGCGUGCAGCACCUCACCACAGAACCUGAAGAGUGAUGACCCCUUUUCUCGUUCUCGUUCUUUAGUUGCGAAAGUGAGAAUAUUGUUUAGCAAUAAGCCAGACAGACCGUGCCAGUCCACAGUCCACCGGUUAAGGAUCGAGAGAAGAUUUCUGCGCGGAAAGCAAAGCAAAACAAAGCAUAAAGAUAAAACUAGUUGAACGUUUCCAAACGUGUUCAUUCCUGUCCAACUUUGUUUGUCUUGGUUUUGGUUGAGCGGUUCGCUAAGCCGAUCGGUGUCGAUCGGUGGUUAGUUCAUUCGCAGACGUUAGCCAGAUAUGGUGCAGGUGCUUGCCGCAGAGGACCGAAAUGUCUGUCUUGAGCUGAGUGCUUGGGAAGAAUGCUUCUCGGAAAUGGAGCGCUACUGUCUGUUGAUUGAAGAGGGAUAAUAACCCAGCCCAAGGCCCCCAUGCCUUGCCAUCUACGCAAUACUGACUCAUACUACUCUACGUGACUGCGGACCCGGAUUUGGAGAAAUUGACGACGAAGAAUCCGCACUGCCUGAAACUGUGGAAAACGAAAAGCUGUCGAUUCCGACGGUUUCAACAUCGACGAAGAUUUUGCUUCCGAGAAUAUACUCCACGGAAGAAGACAACAACGAAGAAGAACAAAACCUCUGACAAAGACGAGAGCACGGGAAAAGACGCAAAGAUGGCACUCCCGAAGGAUAUUAUCGAGCUUAUGAGAAAAUCUGGCUGUCGAACGGUGACACAUCUGAUAUCGACCAUUUCGGCGCUGCUGCUGCUUCUGACAGUGCUUGCCCUCGGUGAGCACUUUCUAUUCGCCUCACUUGGAAGCGGCAACGGCACCGGCAGCGAUAGGUUCUACGGGAAGCACGACUUCAAGAAGCUGAUUCAAUAAAAUUGUCACACAGAAAUUAAUUAUUUUUGAGUGCUUGUACUCGGCCGUCCGCCCACUUUUCGUUAUCCCCCAGAAUCUCCACGUAAUCUCCUAAAUGUGGCAAUAUUUUCGGAUUAAUGACGUUAUCGGUUGUCGCUGUCGCUGGGUUAAGGCAGCCUCUUCAACGAAUGAUGACGACGACGACGACAAUGGAGAAAAGAGCCUCACCGUGCGGUGCGAGUGUGUGAGUGUGCGUGAUGAAACGAGCUUUGAUGUUGGAUGACGGUUCGCCUGCUCGAAAGGCCGACGAUGAUUGGAACGGAUGGAACGAGCCUCUUCAAGAUUUUUAAAAGGCCAACCACAAUUGCGCGCAACCGUAAUACCGAAGAGCGGCGAUGAUUUAGGGGACGAUAGGAGUGAGUAAUGGUGGUUCCGAUAGGGGUUAAACUGUGUUCUGGUAGAUUAGGAAGAGAUUAGUGGAAGCGAUCAGUUGUUUUUUUAGGAAAAUAAUGAAAUGCGAAAGCUAUAGGACAAGUUACUUGAAGAAAAUUAGCUUACGUAGUGUGAAGAUGUGUUGAGUAAAAUCGAAGUAAAUUAAUACAAUUUCAUUUUUUGACAAACAUUUCAAAUAAAACAUCAAUACAAUGUAA